GACGAACGCUGGCGGCGUGCCUAAUACAUGCAAGUCGAACGGUCUUUUCUAUGGAAGCUUGCUUCCACUGAGAAGAUAGUGGCGAACGGGUGAGUAACACGUGGGUAACCUGCCCAUAAGAGGGGGAUAACAUCCGGAAACGGGUGCUAAUACCGCAUAGUUUUCUUGAUCGCAUGAUCGAGAAAGGAAAGACGGCCUUUGUGCUGUCGCUUAUGGAUGGACCCGCGGCGUAUUAGUUAGUUGGUGAGGUAACGGCUCACCAAGACGAUGAUACGUAGCCGACCUGAGAGGGUGAUCGGCCACAUUGGGACUGAGACACGGCCCAAACUCCUACGGGAGGCAGCAGUAGGGAAUCGUCCGCAAUGGACGAAAGUCUGACGGAGCAACGCCGCGUGAGUGAAGAAGGUUUUCGGAUCGUAAAACUCUGUUGUCAGAGAAGAACAAGUCGGAGAGUAACUGCUCCGGCCUUGACGGUAUCUGACCAGAAAGCCACGGCUAACUACGUGCCAGCCGCCGCAGUAA
rnacentral:rRNA from 1 species